GACGAACGCUGGCGGCGUGCUUAACACAUGCAAGUCGAACGCUGAAGCUCAGCUUGCUGGGUGGAUGAGUGGCGAACGGGUGAGUAACACGUGAGUAACCUGCCCUCUUCUUUGGGAUAACGCCCGGAAACGGGUGCUAAUACUGGAUAUUCACUGAUUCUCGCAUGGGGGUUGGUGGAAAGGUUUUUUCUGGUGGGGGAUGGGCUCGCGGCCUAUCAGCUUGUUGGUGGGGUGAUGGCCUACCAAGGCUUUGACGGGUAGCCGGCCUGAGAGGGUGACCGGUCACAUUGGGACUGAGAUACGGCCCAGACUCCUACGGGAGGCCGCAGUGGGGAAUAUUGCACAAUGGGCGAAAGCCUGAUGCAGCGACGCCGCGUGAGGGAUGGAGGCCUUCGGGUUGUAAACCUCUUUCGCUCAUGGUCAAGCCGCAGCUUUGGGUUGUGGUGAGGGUAGUGGGUAAAGAAGCGCCGGCUAACUACGUG
rnacentral:rRNA from 1 species